rnacentral:rRNA from 1 species
UACGUAGGUGGCAAGCGUUAUCCGGAAUGAUUGGGCGUAAAGGGUGCGCAGGCGGUCCAGAAAGUCUGUAGUAAAAGGCAUUGGCUCAACCAAUGUAUGCUGUGGAAACUGAUGGACUAGAGUGCAGGAGAGGGCAGUGGAAUUCCAUGUGUAGCGGUGAAAUGCGUAGAUAUAUGGAGGAACACCGGUGGCGAAAGCGGCUCUCUGGCCUGUAACUGACACUGAGGCUCGAAAGCGUGGGGAGCAAACAGG